AUUGAACGCUGGCGGCAUGCCUUACACAUGCGAGUCGAACGGCAGCACGGGUGCUUGCACCUGGUGGCGAGUGGCGAACGGGUGAGUAAUAUAUCGGAACGUGCCCUAGAGUGGGGGAUAACGUAGCGAAAGUUACGCUAAUACCGCAUACGAUCUACGGAUGAAAGUGGGGGAUCGAAAGACCUCAUGCUCCUGGAGCGGCCGAUAUCUGAUUAGCUAGUUGGUGGGGUAAAAGCCUACCAAGGCGACGAUCAGUAGCUGGUCUGAGAGGACGACCAGCCACACUGGGACUGAGACACGGCCCAGACUCCUACGGGAGGCAGCAGUGGGGAAUUUUGGACAAUGGGGGAAACCCUGAUCCAGCAAUGCCGCGUGUGUGAAGAAGGCCUUCGGGUUGUAAAGCACUUUUGUCAGGAACGAAACGGUGGGGGCUAAUACCUCCUGCUAAUGACGGUACCUGAAGAAUAAGCACCGGCUAACUACGUGCCAGCCGCCGCCGUAA
rnacentral:rRNA from 1 species